AGCAAUGUUGGGCUGUUCUUCGAUGAAGGUAAACUUGGAGCCAAGUAUGGCUAGGUUAUGCCAAGAAUAUGUUCCGACACCACCUGCUUGAAGUUUCCCAUGAGUUUCUCGGCCAUAGUGCGGUAUGGUGCCAAGGUUAUUUCCUUAACUGCGAAACUUCCCUAGACCUAGCUUAAGACCAAAUUCGAGUCCUCUACGACUUAUAUCUUCCUUGCACCUAUUUCCCUAGCUGUGAAGAGGCCCAUGACGAAAGCUUUAUACUUGGCUACGUUGUUUGUCCAUGGAAAACUUAGUUUGAAGCAUAGGGCAAUAGCUUGGCCUUCUGGAUUUACAAGUAC
rnacentral:lncRNA from 1 species